GUGGAUGGAGAUACAGUUAAAGUUUAGGUUUUAUUAUCUUUGCAUUUAUUAUGCUGAUAAAAAAAAUCUUUGCAUUCAUUAUUUUCUUUGCUCCUAUUCUUUUUGCUACUCUUGUGGAGUGGGAGUUUUUGUAAUUGGGCCUUUGACUUUGAUGAUCUGAUUAUCUUCUUCUACUUGUGUUGCAAUGAACACUUACCAUGGAUGUUUGUUGGACAUAUUGUGAAGCUUCAGGUUUUAUUACUUUUCCACUCACUAUUUUUCUUAUGUGCUCGAUUUGGAAUGUGUACAGUUUCUCUUAUUUGUUGGAUAGUUGGAAGGUAUUUCAUUGUAUUGUAUGUAUCUAAGCAAGAGCAAUACUUCUAGGUCCUCCAUCAUCUAACCAUAUUGAUUAUAGUUUUCUUGAAUUCAUUGGCCUAAAAGGAAAGCUAAGCAAUGAAGUUUGGUGUAGGAUGUAAAAAUGGUUGGUGGAAAUUCUGUGAUCAGUGAAGCUAAAUGUUUCUCUCAUUAGGACAUUGUUGUGUUUAACUGAAUUAAUUUUUAACUGGCUAAACUUGUUGGUUUGAUUAUAAUCUUGGUUGUAUUUUGAUGGUGUAUGGUUCUAAGAGGCAUUGUGGGAUUAGCAUGAGACAAGUGUGGUUGGGCUUUACUCUUUUAUUUGAUGGUUUGCUUCUUGGUUUGGAAAGUUCUACUAUUUAAUUUUGAUGACUUCUCUGCAUAAUUCUAUAAUAUAGGUCUGUUGUUCUUUUAAUAGUUUUCCAAAACCUUUUGAUUCAUUAUUCUUGAUCCCAAACAUAGAAUUUUUGCAUGUAAUCUCGUGUGAUCCUAGACAACAAUGUCUCUUACUAUGAUGACGGACAUCAAUGUCUCUUACGCUGAAAUUUUUGAAAUUAGUAUAAGAAUGAUCCUGAAAUUGAAAUUGUUUAAAUGCUUCACUUUUGUUUCAACAAUCUCAUGUGUUUCUCGUUCCUUGAGUUUUGAAAUUUGCAUUUAUUUGUUUGCAACACAUUGAGUCUUUAUUUGAGGUUUCUCUUUCAGUUCAUUAACUCAGCAAGUGAUGGAAUAUAGUGGGACGACUAACAUGUUUAAUCAACCAGUUAUAGAUUUUUUUCUUUUUUUCCUUUAUUGUUUAUUGAGUUGAGUGCUUUGAAAAUAUUUCUGUAACCAAUUGGGAUUGAAAGUCCAGCGUUAUGCCUGGCAUUAGAUAAUUGGACUUCUUUUAUUAGUUAUCCAAACCGUUCAUUUUUUUCAUAUUUGUUCUAUUUGGACAGGAAUUGUAUGCGAGAGAGAUAAUGAAGUUUUGGAGGUGAAUUUGUUAAUUUCAGUUACGACUAUGGAGGAAUUGUAUUUUGGAGGUGAAUUUGUGAAUUUGUAUGAGACAACUUUGUUUCUCUGAAAUUUAGAGAGCCUCUUUAAUAUUGCAUGGUAGUUUUUUUAUACGAUAUACAAGUAUAUCCAGUUUUAUUUGGAUAUUUUUUAGCAACAAUGCUUUUGGAAUAGGAUUUGUUUGAGCGCUACCAUGAGAAAGUUCAACUUGAAACGACAACAACUCAUAAUAGCCUAAUUCCUUCUAUAUGAGGUUUCACCUUUUAUUUAACUUCUAAGGACUUGAUUACCAACAUUAGGAUUGAAUUGUGAUUUGUUUUUCUACAGUGGUUUAUGAUUGUCUUCAAACAAUGUUUGGAUCUCAUCGAGCCAGUUGGUUUCUGAGUUAAGAAUUUUUCUAAUAUUUUCUAAAAUUCCUCCCCUGAAACAAGUGUUUUUAGUUUUCUUGAAUUUUUGCUCUUUACAGAUAAGACAAGCAAUGGAUGUGUGACGACAUGUAGAAACAUGGGGAUCAAUUAAAGCCUUAGUUUGUCUUAAUUGGUGACUAGUUAUUUGAAUGCAGUUUUAUAUGUGGUGACAAUGAUCUAUCAAAAUAAAAAAAUUGGUUUAGGAUUUCCUCUCUAUUUGAUAUUUUCAGAUUUGAUCACCAAAUAUAAGGAUUUUCUGUUGCCAUUUGUUUCUCUGCAGUGAUGUUUGCAUUAUGGCUUUACAAGUCUUUCAGAGGAUCAGUAGUUUCAGAGGUGAAUUGUGUGUUGCAGUGUAAAUUGUUCAAGUUUAUUUAUUUGCAAAAGGGAUCAAUUCUCCAUUCAUUUUUGCAGAAGAUUAGAUGGCUAACAUUAUUGUUCGUUCAUUUGAUCCAGUAAGAGCUCAUUCUAGAAAUGUGGACUUCUCUUUAAAAGCCUUUGGUAUUUUAACUAUCUUCAAAAGAUAUUUUUUCUGGAUCUAUUGUUUUGACAGAGCAGGUCUUCGAGGAAGACACGAGUGUUGUUGAUUUUUAGAUUUGGAAUUGUUCAAGUACCAACAACAUGAUUUCAUGAUCUCUUAUGAUUUCCCCUGAAUUCUUGGUUGUUGUUUUGCCAGGGUAGGGUCUGGGUAGAUUUGGGUUUUUGGAUUCGGAAUUGUCCAACUACCAACAAUGUGUGUACAGGUUUGAAAUAGAUGAUGUGUUUGUCAGAUAUUUUCUAGGGAUAUAUAUAUAUAUAUAUAUAUAUAUAUAUAUAUAUUUAGUUGCUAGUUUUAUUUUUCAUUCAAUUACUUAAUUGCUUUAUUACUAUGAUCAUUUGAUUAUAAAAUUAUUCUUGGUAGUUAUAUAAUUAUUCAUGGUUGUUAGAUUACCUUUAAUAGUUACUGUUGUUGGAAAUAUAAUCUAGAAGUCCUUUGUUGGCUAAUGAUUCUCUAACAUUUUUUUUAAUUUUAUGGUAGUUGUAUUUUGCUUUGACAAUUUAGUUUAGUUUUUUUUAUUAACUCUGAUUGUUUCCAGCAUCGACACAUGAAUUUUGAACUUGUUCUUGCAUAAUUUAUCAUGGGAGAAAAUGAAUUGGUGGUGUAGGUUUGGGAAACAGUGGAUCAAGACCCUAUGGAAAUUUGGGUUUUAUUCUGUGUUUAUUAUUUUCUUUGCUGCUAUUAUUCACGGAUAAACUUGUGGACUGGGAAUGCUUACCUCUUUAUGACAGGCACUGUAAAUGUCUGUGUCAGCCAUUUAAUUUUCUCUUUCUAGUCCGCACUCAGACAUUUCUUUCAGCAACCAGUCAUUUAAUCGGAAAGAGAGUUUUGUUUCCUUUCAUGUUCUUUGUUGUCAAAACAACCUUUGUUUCUUUCUUAUCAGCUAUAGUAUUUAAUUCACUGCGAUCUCAGGAUGUGUUAUUUGGAAGUGAUGUGGUUAUUCAUUCGAGGAUUGAUGUGUUAUUUGGAAGUGAGGUGGUUAUUCAUUCGAGGAUUGAGUUUCAUUCCCUUUGACUUGCAUUUUUUUGUGUUCAUAGCUAUCAAACAACUUUCUUCCUUUGAAAUGUAUGGAGUCUAUUUUUUUAAGAUGAAAUCCCCUCUAAAUGUUAAUGUUUUAUUUUUUUUCUUUCUUUUUCAUCAUUUCCUAGUUAUUUGUGUUUCUCAUAGGCUUGGUCUCAUCCCUUCGACUUGCAUUUGUUUGUGUUCAUUGCUAUUAAACAACAUUUUUUUUAAAUGUAUGGAGUCUUUUUUGUUACGUCUAGAGAUGUUGAUUUGCUUGUUUUCAUUCCGUUUUAGGUGUUGAUUUGUUUGCGUUCAUUCCUUUUUAGGUGUUGAUUUGUUUGUGUUCAUUCCUUUUUAGCAUUUGGAGGCCUCAAGAAUGGUUGAGGAUUAAAAUCUGGAAGUGUUUAGAACGACCAAUAAUUCAGGAUAACCUAAUUUCAUUAGUUUCCUUUCCAUUUGAUUUCUUGAGAUUUGAUCACGAAGAAUAAGGAUUGAAUUGUCAUUUGUUUUUAUGAUGUCUUUCUUUGUUUUGAAUGUCUUAUUGUCUCUAUACUUCAACUCUAUGAGCCGUUGUAGCCUUCCUGAAUUCUUGGGGUGUACAGUACAGGACAAACAUGCAACAGAUGUUACGUAGGACAGAUGUGAGUAUCCUUAAAGCUCUAGGUUUUGGUAUCCACACAUAUUUUUGUCUUUAAUUGGGACUGGCUAUUUGAAUUUCUCUGGUUUUUGAAUUCCUUCAAUUCAUCUUAUGCUUUCUUAACUUCUUGGUCUUUAUUACCAAUAUCUAUUUUUAUUUAAAUAUAGUUCUUAAAUUUUUUAUGUCUAGGUGUUGAUUCGUUUGUGUUCAUUUCUUUUUAGCAUGUAAGACUGGUUAAGGAUUAAAAUCUGCUAGUGUACACGAAAAACAAGCCACGGAUGUGAGGUAGGAUAUCUAAAUACUGGAAGGAGAUGCUUGAUUCUGUAGGUUAUCCAUAAUCUUUGAUGACAGAUGCUUACUUGAGUUUGGAUGUAGUUAUUUAUUUGAUGAAAGAGAUCUAUCAUAUGUAACUUUGUGUUAGUUCCUUUUCAGCAGGGGAUUCUGGUUGAGGAUUAAAAAACAUAAAUUUGAAUAUUGAUUUUGUUUGAUUAUUGAAAUAUGACAAAUCUAGCUGUUUGAUCUUUGAAUAUGUUGAUUCUUUUUAGCAAAUCAUAGGUUAGUAAUAAUAAAAUGCUCAGGGAAGAUGUCUCCCCUUUACUUGAAACAUUGUAGAUAGAGCAUAUUUUUCCAGACUGAUAUGCGAGGUAGGGUGUGGAAACACUUCCCAGGGGAUUUGUGAAGCUUUAGGUUGUUACCUGUUAGAUAUUAUUAGAUAUUAUUAGAUAUUAUUAGAUAUUAUUAGAUAUAAUUAGAUAUUAUUUGAUAUUAUGAGAUAUUAUAGAUAUUGUUAGAUAUCUCAUAUUUAUGUAAUGGGCUUAGCCCAUAUGUUUCUUUUCCUAUAUAAACAUAACCCUAUGUGUUCAAUAUACACAAGGGAUUUACCCUAUUCUUUCUUUUCCUUUAAUAUUACCCUUACCAUUCUUGUGUCUUUAUUUGUGACUGACUAAACUUCUUGUUUGGAUUCUAAGUUUUGGUUGGAUUCAUUGCUAACAUUGUAGUUUGACUGGCAGUCUGGCAGUUCUUGUGGGUUUAGAGGUCGUGUAAUACUCUCUUUUUUAAGUUGUCCAUUUCUAAGUAAUUUAGGCUUCUCUUAGCUUUUACCAGUCCUGGAUUCAUAGUGAAAUUUGACCCUUUUACAUGGUGCAAUUGAAAUUAAGGAGAGAAUUAUUGAUCUUUAGUUUUCUAGUACUGAAUUAAUUUUGGAUUUGUUUUGGUGUAGCAAAUCUGAAAGGUCAUUUUCUUAGUUAUUACUUCAUUUACUAAAUAAUCAAGAGCAUUGGACAAUUUGAUUUUGUAGUGUUUUGUUUGCUGCAUUGACAAAUGAAUCUUGCAUUCUAUUGUUUUUAGGAGUUUUAGAUUACAUCCUGAAUAUGACAUGAUGAUCUCUUCUAUCUUCCAAAAUGAGAAUGAUCUGCAACAUUAGAGUUGUAUUUAGUUCUAUGUCCAAUGUGAGAAUGAGAAAAUUAAGAGCUCUAUUUAGUUUUAUCUCCAAUUAUCUCUAAUAUGAGAAUGAGAAACAACAGUAGUUGGAAUGUUUUCUUGCAAUCUUCCUGUGCUAUGAUUUAGUUCUCUCUCCAUAUAUGAGAAUAAGAAAAUGAGAAAGAGAAACAAGAUUAUUUGGAAUGUUUUGUAGUAAUCUUCUUGCACUAUGAUUCGGUUCUCUCCCAAUAUGCGAAUGAGAAACAACAAUAUUUGGAAAGUUUUGUCGUAAUCUUCUUGUGCUAUGAUUCGGUUCUGUCCCCAAUAUGCGAAUGAGAAGAUGAGAAACAACAGCUUAUGAGAGCUCCAUUUGGUUCUAUCUCCAAUAUGAGAAUGAGAAACAACAGUACAUGAGAGUUCUAUUUAGUUUUAUCUCUAAUACGAUAAAGAAGAGAAACAAAAGCAUUUGGAUUGUUCUCUUUGUAAUCUUCGUGUGCUAUGAGCAACGCCUCCCCUCGAGGCUAUGGUUACGGGUGAUGCCUCUCUAUUCCAACAUGAGAGCUCUAUAUAUUUUUUUGGGGUGGGGUCUCAAUUUAUGAUACCAUGUGGAAGCAGACACCAUAUUUUUGCCGUCUAUAUUUCUCAGCUCUUGCUGAUUUUGCCAUGCUGAACUUAGUUUUCUUGAAUUGCCAUUCUUCUUAAAUUUUUACAGUAAAGCAAUAGAUAUGUGGGGGCAGGUUUUGGAAACAUUGUAUGGAGAUCUGGUGAAACUUUAGAUUUUAUUAUCUUUGCAUAUUCAUCAUUUUCUUUGAUGGCUAAACUUGUGGAUUGGGAGUUCUUGUAAACAGGCACUAUGUGAGUUUGAGAGGCUUUGGCAAUUGUGUUGUUAGGCCUUCGAUCCUGGUGAUUUGAUAAUCUGUUGCAGUGAAGACUUUAUGGAUGUCUGUUACCCAAAUUACGGUACAUUAUUGGACUUACAUUUCCAUUUCACUAUUUUUUUUAUAUCCUUGAUUUGGUUGUGGUAUCUCUUAUUGGUUGAAUAGUGGGAAGGCACAUGUGAAUCUUAUGAUGUAUUGCCUUUAAUAGUUUUUGCUGUUGGAAAAAUAAUCUAGAAGUCCUUUCUUAGCAAAUUAUUCUCAUUAUUGUAGAAAUUCUAUAACAUUUAUUCAGGUUUUACUUUCUACAAUUAGUUUAUUUUUAUCCACUCCGAUAACUAAUUAAAUAUUUACUUUCUCUAGAAAGUAGACUAUGUGAUUGAUAUAUUUUAAUGUUAUUCAUAAAUUAGUUCUUUAUAUUAAUCAUUACAAAAAUGUUUGGUAUACACUCAUAUUUAUCAUAUUGCCUUCAAGUAGAAAGGUAUUUGUAUAGGGCAAUUGCUUCCUCCCCCAAUCAAUUUUGACUAGCAUUCAAUAGAAGUUUUAAAACUUCAUUAUGCCUUUUUCACGGCUUACGAAUGCCAAUAUCCAAAAGUGACAUAUUUGCCUAUGGAUAUUGCCAUUUGGAAGUGAUAGUUUUGCCUACGGAUAUUAACAUUCGAAAGUGUCAGUUUUGCCUACGGAUAUUGACAUUUGGAAGUGUCAGUUUUGCCUACGGACAUUGGCAUCUGGAACUGGCACUCUUUGAUUGCGUUCAUUUUUAUCCGAAAGGCACUAUCAUUUUUCUUAAUAUACAUAUCAGGAAGCCAAUCAUCCUUAACUUUUUUUUUUGGCAGUGUAAUGAUUUUGUUACUUUUAAUGGAUUAAAACCACUAAACCGAACCAAUUUAAAGAAUAAAAGUAAAAUCAACAUUAAAAUUUGUUACUUGCUUUUUAUUAUAAAAUAUUUAUAUUAUCAUUUAUAUAUUUUCAAAUGCAUUAACCAUUGAUGACAUAUAGAACAUUGUUGAGAGUAGAAAAAAAGCACCCAAUAAACACAUUUUGGAUUUUCAAAAUGGGACCUGAUGAAAAAGACUUUCGUGGUGCAUAUGGAUGUUUAUAUUCAUAACUCAUAACACAAUUACGGACAAAAAUAUUCAGAACCCGUGAGAAGCGUGAAGCGACACGUCUCCUUUUCUGGUGUCUUUGCUUUCUGUCGUUGUUGAAGUGGCUCAAAAGCGUUGCUUGCGUGUGUGUAAGACUUUCGGAAGAGAAUGUCUACAAGAAACAAUGAAUGACCUUCUGCACUGUGCUUGAUUGUGGGGUGUAUGGAACCUAAUUUCACUCAUUAAGGGUGUCAUGGUAAUUUCAUAUAGAUCAUUAAGGGUGUUAUGGUAAUUUCAAACAGAAAAUUGGGUGUUAGUUAGAAUUGAUUGGGUGCAGGAGAGUCAGCUUUGUGUAGCAAUAAAAAGUCACAAAGAAAUCUAUUCAACUCUAAAAGGUUGUGAUAUUUAACACCACAAAGAGUAAAAAACAUUCACAAAUUAAUAAAAUAAUAUUUUAAUCAUAUUUAAUUUAUUUUUAUUUUUAAAUAUUAUUAUAUUAUUAUAAUGAGAUGUUAAGUAUACGUUUUUACAUGGUGUCAAAAAAUUAUUUUCCUAUUCUAAAAGAACUUAGACAAAUGUCUUAUUAUAAUAAAACUAAUAAUGUGGAAAAUAUUUUAAAAAACACUAAUAAAAGAAAUAAGUUUAUUUUUCAAAUUGAAGUCAAAUUAAGAUUAAAACAAUCUUAAAAUUUAAUUAUAUUGACUAAAAAGUUAAUAAAAACAAAACAAUAUUUACAAGAUAUUUUUAAAUAUCUUUAAAAUAAUAACUGCAAAUUUGUUUCCCCUGUUUUGUGUCAGCGGUUUGUUAUAAGAUAAGGAUGAAAAUCUUAAUUGCAUAUUUUCACCUCACCGCGUAAUAUAAGCUGUCAAUCUUGACCCUCCCUUUCUAUAUAUACCCGAAGAUCUUAUUGAGUUUAUCAUAUUGAGUUUUGUUGGUAUUGGUUCCGUGAUUGAGUUUUGUUAGUACUGAUUGGGGGUGAUUGUUGUGCUUCUUAUUAUCAAGUCUCCGUGGUUUCGUCGAAUUAUAUCAUGUUUGCUAUCAUCGAUGUGGUUUUGAUGUGGUUUUGUCGGAUUGAAGAAUGCAAGAAUCUUUUAUAGGAUUGAAGAACGCCAAUUCUGAAUAUGAUUCUUUAUGUGAUGAUGACAAGUUUUGAAUCUUUUGAUCAAAUUCCUUUAUCCCUUUUCUGCUGGUGACGGGGUCUUUGAGUAUUUUCUUCUACUUUCCUUUCUAUUAUUUGAUUUAUCUGGUAUUGAUCACGAAAAUAAGGAUUGGACUAUGAUUUGUUUAUCUGCAGUGGUGUAACACGUUUCUUAGUUAGUUUUCUUGAUUUUUGGGCUGUACAGGGAAGACACGCAAUGGAUGUGAAAUGAAGUAUUAUGUUUUCUUGACUUCUUAUGGGUUUAUUCGUGACUGAUUAUUGGAUUUCGUAGCCUAACUUGGUGUUUAUGUUCACUCCCCUUCAGCAAUUCGAGUUUCUGAGAUUUGAAACCCUAAAAAGUUUGAAACGGUUGCAGCUCAGGACAUCCCAAUUCUCUCUAUCUAUUGUUUAAUUUCUCUCUACUUUAUCUCCAAGGAUUGAAUUGUGUUCGACGUUUGAAUUAUUUUCCCUUAAUGUUAUGAGGCCCCAAGGGUUGAAUUGGUGUUUGAAUUAUUUUUUUCGCUUAAUGUCCUGCAGAGUAUGUUAUGAGACAUAAGGGCUGAAUUGUGAUUUGUUUCCUGUUUGGAUGAUUUGCAUAGCAUCUUAUAGAAUAUGAAUGGUUUGGUUUUCGCACGGUUCUCGCGAGUAUGUUAUAGCCACCAUUCUUCCUUGGUUUUUAAGUCUUCAAUUUAUCUUAUCGUUCUAUACUUCAUCCUCGAUUACCAGUUAUACUUUGUUGAAUUAUUGUUCUUUACAGGGAUGAGUGGGGAUAAGACAGGGAUGUGUGGGUAGGACGUUCCUCGUGGUUGGUUGAAAAUGGUGGAUGAGCCAUGCUCGACGGUAUGAAAAACACAACGACAAUGGGCUCGACAUAACCGAAGUCUUUUUUGAGUUUUCCUUCUAUUUUUCUUCAACAUAAGGAUAUGAUUUGUUUAUCUGCAGUGGUGUUUUGAACCUUUUGCGUAAAUUUCUUUGCUCCUUUUCAGUUGGUGGCCGAUUCUCUGGCGUUUCUUUAGCUUUUGGAUGAUUUGAAAACUAGAACGACCAAGAGCUAGGCAUAACCUAAGUCUUUGUUGAGUUUCCCUUCUUUAACUUUUUUUUCUGCUAUUGAUCACAGUACAUAAGGAUUGAACUAUGAUUUGUUUAUCUGCAGUGGUGUUUGGAUUAGUUGGGUAACGACACAUACUCAUCUUAUCAUGUUCCUAUAACUAGUAAAUUCAUUUACUGAAUUUUGAGUAUAAUUGUCUAUUUGAGUAUGACGAGUUUUAUACCUUUUGCGUAAAUUUCUUUUCAGCUGGUGGCUGGUUUUUUGGUAUUUCUUUUGCCUAUGGAUGAUAUGGAAAGCACAACGACCAAGGGCUCGACAUAACCUUAAGUCUUUUUUUAGUUUCCCUUCUAUUUUUGUUAUGGUAUUGCAUAAGGAUUGAACUAUGAUUUGUUUAUCUGCAGUGGUGUUUGGAUUAGUUGGGUAACGUCACAUAUUAAUCUUAUCAAGUUUCUAUAAUUAGUAAAUUCAUUUAUGUCUAUAUGAGAAUGACGAGUUUUGAACCUUCUGCGUAAAUUUCUUUGCACCUUUUCAGCUGGAGUUCUCUGUCAUUUCUUUCUCCUAUGGAUGAUAUGAAAAGCAGAAGGACCAAGGGGCUCGACAUAACCUAAGUCUUUUUUGACUUUUUUUUUCUAUUUUUCUUUUUCCUGGUAUUGAUGACAGUACAUAAGGAUUGAACUAUAAUUUGGUUAUCUGCAGUGGUGUUAGGAUUAGUUGGAUAACGACGCAUAUUCAUCUUACAAGUUGCUAUAACUAGUAAAUUCAUUUAUGUGAAUUUUGAGUAUAAUUCUCUAUUUGAGUUUGACAAGUUUUAAACCUUUUGCGUAAAUUUAGUUUCAGCUGGUGGCUGGUUUUUUUGCCUUUCUGUUGCCUAUGGAUGAUAUGAAAAGCACAAUGACCAACGGGCUCGUCAUAACCUAAGUCUUUUUUGAGUUUUCCUUCUUUUUUUCUUUUUCCUGGUAUUGUUCACAGUACAUAAGGAUUAAACUAUGGUUUUGUUUAUCUGCAGUGGUAUUUGGAUUAGAUGGGUAACAACGCAUAUUCAUCGUAUCAAGUUUCUAUAACUAGUAAAUUCAUUUACGUCAAUUUUGACUAUAGUUCUCUAUUUGAGUUGACACUAUAGUUCUUUAUUUGAGUAUGACGAGGAAAAUUACUUAAAUUUCUUUUCAGCUGAUCAAGGGCUCAACAUAACCUUAAAUCUUUUUUGACUUUCCCUUUUAUUAUUUUUUUUAGGUAUUACAUAAGGAUUGAACUAUGAUUUGUUUAUCUGCAGUGGUGUUAUGAUUAGUUGGGUAACUUCACAGAUUCAUCUUAUCAAGUUUCUAUAAUUCAUUUAGGUGAAUUCUGAGUAUAAUUCACUAUUUGAGGAUGAUGAGUUUUGAACAUUUUGUGUAAAUUUCUUUGCAUAUUUUCAGUUAUUGGCUGGUUCUCUGGCAUUUCUUUUGCCUAUGAAUGAUAUGAGAAGCACAACGACCAAGGGGCUCAACAUAACCUAAGUCUUUUUUGAGUUUUCCUUAUAUUUUUCUUUUUACUAGUAAUAAUAACAGUACAUAAAGAUUGAACUAUGAUUUGUUUAUCUGCAGUGGUGUUUGGACUAGUUGGGUAACGACGCAGAUUCAUUUUAUCAAGUUUCUAUAACUAGUAAAUUCAUUUACGUGAAUUUUGAGUAAAAUUCUCUAUUUGAGUAUGACGAGGUUUAAACCUUAUGCGUAAAUUUCUUUUCAGCUGGUGGCUGGUUUUUUGGCAUUUCUUUUGCCUAUGGAUGAUAUGCAAAGCACAACGACCAAGGGCUCGAUAUAACCUUAAGUCUUUUUUGAGUUUCCCUUAUAUUAUUCGUUAAUGGUUUUACAUAAGGAUUGAACUAUGAUUUGUUUAUCUGCAGUGGUGUUUUGGAUUAGUUGGGUAACGUCGCAUAUUCCUCUUAUCAAGUUUCUAUAGUUAGUAAAUUCAUUUAUGUCUAUAUGAGGAUGACAAGUUUUGAACCUUCUGCGUAAAUUUCUUUGCACCUUUUCAGCUGGCGUUCUCUAGCAUUUCUUUCUCCUAUGGAUGAUAUGAAAAGCAGAAGGACCAAGGGGCUCAACAUAACCUAAGUCUUUUUUGAGUUUUUUUUUCUAUUUUUCUUUUUCCUGGUAUUGAUGACAGAACAUAAGGAUUGAACUAUGAUUUGUUUAUCUGCAGUGGUGUUUGGAUUAGUUGGAUAACGACGCAUAUUCAUCUUACAAGUUUCUAUAACUAGUAAAUUCAUUUACGUGAAUUUUGAGUAUAAUUCUCCAUUUGAGUGUGACGAGUUUUAAACCCUUUUUGUAAAUUUACUUUCAGCUGGUGCCUGGUUUUUUGGCCUUUCUGUUGCCUAUGGAUGAUAUGAAAAGCACAACAACCAAGGGCUCGACAAAACCUUAAGUCUUUUUUGAGUUUCCUUCUAUUUUUUUAUGGUACUACAUAAGAAUUGAACUAUAAUUUGUUUAUCUGCAGUGGUGUUUGGAUUUGUAUAACGUCACAUAUUCAUCUUAUCAAGUUUCUAUAAUUAGUAAAUUCAUUUAGGUCUAUAUGAGGAUGACGAGUUUUGAACCUUUUGCGUUAAUUUCUUUGCACCUUUUCAGCUGGAGUUGAGUUGUGAACUUGUUUGGAAGUUUUGCAUGUAAUCUCCUUUGAGCCUAGACUGCAAUGUCUCUUAUGCUGAAAUCUUUGAAAUCAGAAUAAUGAACCGGAGUGACAACAAUGCUCUAACGCUGAAAUUUUUGAAAUCAGUAUAAUAAUGAUCCUGAAAUUGUUUAAAUGCUUCACUUUUGUUUCAACAAUCUCCAUUUAUGUUUCUCAUUCUUCGAGUUUUGAAAUCAGCAUUUAUUUGUUUGCAGCACAUUUUGUCUUUAUUUGAGGUUUCUCUUUCAGAUUGUUAACUCAACCAGUGAUGGAAUAUAGUGGGACGGCUAACAUGUCUUAUCAACAAGUUUGAGUGUUUAUCCAAAACCAUUCCAUUCAUUUCUUUUUCAUAUUUGUACAAUUUGGAAAAGGAUUGUAUCCGAGAAAGAUAAUGGAGUUUUGGAGGUGAAUUUGUUAAUUUUAAUCAGAUUGACGAACGUCUCUUGGACAGGAUUUCGUCUCUAUUUGAUAUUUUCAGAUUUGAUCACCAAACAUAUGGAUUUUCUGUUGUCAUUUGUUUUUGUGCAGUGAUAUUUGCAUAAUGUUUCAUGCUACGUCUAAUCAAUCAUGUUGUUUGGAAGUUUGUAUGACUCUUGAUAACAGGCUUUACAAGAGUUUGGGAGGAUUAGUAAUUUCAGAGGUGAUACCUAUUAUCAUAUUUGUGUCUUGUAGUGUGAACUGUUCAAGUUUAUUCAUUUGCAAGAGGGAUCAAUUCUCCACUUUUGAUGCAGAAGAUUAGAUGGCUAACAUUAUUGUCCGUUCAUUUGAUCCAGCAAGAGCCCAUUCUAGAAAUGUGGUCUUCUCUUUAAAGGCCUUUAGUAUUUUACUAUCAUAAAUAGAUAUUAUUUCUGGUUCUAUUGUUUUGACUGAGAGGAAGUCACAAGUCUUGUUGAUAUAUGAUGAUCUCUUAUCAUUUCCCCUUAAUUCUUGGUUGUUGUUUUGACAGGGUAGGGUUUGGGGAGUCUGGGUUUUUGGAUUAGGAAUUGUCCAACCACCAACAAUGUGUGUACAAGUUUGAAAUAUAUGAAUGAAGGCUGUCAAGGAAAAUGAUUACAGCAAUGAAGGCUAAAAAAAAAAUUGCGGAAGCAGAGUCUCCUAGAUCAGGAUAUAUAUAUGCUAGAGUGGAAAGAAAUAGAUGAAAUAUAUUUCUGAGAUAUCUUACAAAUGUGAUUACAGUCUCUAUUUAUAGACUGUUUUACAACCUAAUUAAAGAAAGAAAUAAUAGGUGAUGAAAGCCAGAAAUAAAUAAUGAGUGUUUAAAGCUGUACAAAUCAAAUAAAAUAAAAUCACUAACAAAUCUGUACUAAUAAAUAUAAAAUGGAAUCUGCACUUAAUUAUAACAUAAUUCUCCUGAUUAUGCAACAGU
rnacentral:lncRNA from 1 species